CCUACGGGAGGCAGCAGUGGGGAAUAUUGGACAAUGGGGGCAACCCUGAUCCAGCCAUGCCGCGUGUGUGAAGAAGGCCCUCGGGUUGUAAAGCACUUUCAGUGAGGAAGAACGCCUGGUGGUUAAUACCCAUCAGGAAAGACAUCACUCACAGAAGAAGCACCGGCUAACUCCGUGCCAGCAGCCGCGGUAAUACGGAGGGUGCGAGCGUUAAUCGGAAUUACUGGGCGUAAAGCGCGCGUAGGUGGCUUGAUAAGCCGGUUGUGAAAGCCCCGGGCUCAACCUGGGAACGGCAUCCGGAACUGUCAAGCUAGAGUGCAGGAGAGGAAGGCAGAAUUCCCGGUGUAGCGGUGAAAUGCGUAGAGAUCGGGAGGAAUACCAGUGGCGAAGGCGGCCUUCUGGACUGACACUGACACUGAGGUGCGAAAGCGUGGGUAGCAAACAGGAUUAGAUACCCGAGUAGUC
rnacentral:rRNA from 1 species